GGUAACGGCUCACCAUGGCAAUGAUACGUAGCCGACCUGAGAGGGUAAUCGGCCACAUUGGGACUGAGACACGGCCCAAACUCCUACGGGAGGCAGCAGUAGGGAAUCUUCCACAAUGGACGAAAGUCUGAUGGAGCAACGCCGCGUGAGUGAAGAAGGGUUUCGGCUCGUAAAACUCUGUUGUUAAAGAAGAACAUAUCUGAGAGUAACUGUUCAGGUAUUGACGGUAUUUAACCAGAAAGCCACGGCUAACUACGUGCCAGCAGCCGCGGUAAUACGUAGGUGGCAAGCGUUGUCCGGAUUUAUUGGGCGUAAAGCGAGCGCAGGCGGUUUUUUAAGUCUGAUGUGAAAGCCUUCGGCUCAACCGAAGAAGUGCAUCGGAAACUGGGAAACUUGAGUGCAGAAGAGGACAGUGGAACUCCAUGUGUAGCGGUGAAAUGCGUAGAUAUAUGGAAGAACACCAGUGGCGAAGGCGGCUGUCUGGUCUGUAACUGACGCUGAGGCUCGAAAGUAUGGGUAGCAAACAGGAUUAGAUACCCUGGUAGUCCAUACCGUAAACGAUGAAUGCUAAGUGUUGGAGGGUUUCCGCCCUUCAGUGCUGCAGCUAACGCAUUAAGCAUUCCGCCUGGGGAGUACGGCCGCAAGGCUGAAACUCAAAGGAAUUGACGGGGGCCCGCACAAGC
rnacentral:rRNA from 2 species